rnacentral:rRNA from 1 species
UACGUAGGAUGCGAGCGUUGUCCGGAUUUAUUGGGCGUAAAGAGAACGUAGGCGGCCAUCUAAGUUUGGUCUUAAAGACCGGGGCUCAACCCCGGGAAUGGACCGAAUACUGGGUGGCUGGAGGACGUCAGAGGAAGGUGGAAUUCCCAGUGUAGCGGUGAAAUGCGUAGAUAUUGGGAGGAACACCGGUGGCGAAAGCGACCUUCUGGGACGUUCCUGACGCUGAGGUUCGAAAGCUCGGGGAGCAAACAGG